AAUGGGCGAAAGCCUGACGCAGCAACGCCGCGUGCGGGAAGAAGGCCUCGGGUGUAAACCGCUUCAGCAGGAACGAAAAUGACGGUACCUGCAGAAGAAGGUGCGGCCAACUACGUGCCAGCAGCCGCGGUGACACGUAGGCACCAAGCGUUGUCCGGAUUUAUUGGGCGUAAAGAGCUCGUAGGCGGUUCAGUAAGUCGGGUGUGAAAACUCUGGGCUUAACCCAGAGCCGCCACCCGAUACUGCUGUGACUAGAGUCCGGUAGGGGAGUGGGGAAUUCCUAGUGUAGCGGUGAAAUGCGCAGAUAUUAGGAGGAACACCGGUGGCGAAGGCGCCACUCUGGGCCGGAACUGACGCUGAGGAGCGAAAGCGUGGGUAGCAAACAGGAUUAGAUACCCUGGUAGUCCACGCCGUAAACGUUGGGCACUAGGUGUGGGCCUCAACCAACGAGGUCCGUGCCGUCGCUAACGCAUUAAGUGCCCCGCCUGGGGAGUACGGCCGCAAGGCUA
rnacentral:rRNA from 1 species